UGGGGAAUAUUGCACAAUGGGGAAAGCCCUGAUGCAGCGACGCCGCGUGAGUGAAGAAGUAUUUCGGUAUGUAAAGCUCUAUCAGCAGGGAAGAAAGUGACGGUACCUGACUAAGAAGCCCCGGCUAACUACGUGCCAGCAGCCGCGGUAAUACGUAGGGGGCAAGCGUUAUCCGGAUUUACUGGGUGUAAAGGGAGCGUAGACGGCACCGCAAGUCUGAAGUGAAAGCCCCGGGCUUAACCCGGGAACUGCUUUGGAAACUGUGGGGCUGGAGUGCUGGAGAGGUAAGCGGAAUUCCUAGUGUAGCGGUGAAAUGCGUAGAUAUUAGGAGGAACACCAGUGGCGAAGGCGGCUUACUGGACUGUAACUGACACUGAGGCACGAAAGCGUGGGGAGCAAACAGGAUUAGAUACC
rnacentral:rRNA from 1 species